ensembl:lncRNA
GAGAAAUUACAGUGAUUAAGAAGAUGACAACACACCAAAUGUUGAAAAAGAAAAUCACAUUUUCAGAAAGAGGGAAAAAGCAACUAUAAACCAUUAGGAAAUUAUAGACCAUUAAGAUUAAUUCUGAUUUACCAGAAAAAAAAUUAAUAUUUAGGAUUGAUUAUUGAAUGGAUGGUUUUGAACACUGUCAAAGUAACCUCAUCUCUUUCUCGGGGUGGGGUCACUUGCACAGUGAAGGAGUGGAAUGUUAUAGACCAGCUUCUCCUUCACGGUGUUUCUCUUAACACUAGUGUUCCUUAAAAUGGUCACCAUAAAAACGGGAAUGGUUUGAUGGAGGAAUUUGCAAUGCACUUGAUCAAACAAAAUGAGUUUGAAAAUGUAUUAUUAUUGCUGGACUUUUUGGAGCAUAUCGUAUGCUAAUACAUGUAGCGAAUUGUCCCAAAGGGUGAAUAUAGUACACAUCAUUUUUAUUUUUAUAUUUUUUCGAGGAAGAUUACCCCUGAGCUAACAUCUGCUGCCAAUCCUCCUUUUUUUGCUGAGGAAAACUGGCCCUGAGCUAACAUCCGUGCCCAUCUUCCUCUGCUUUAUAUGUGGGAUGCCUGCCACAGCAUGGCUUGCCACGUGGUGCCAUGUCCUCACACGGGAUCUGAACCAGCCAACUCUGGGCCCCCAAAACAGAACACGCGAACUUAACUGCUGCACCACUGGGCUGGCCCCUAGUACAUAUCAUUUUUAAACAUUUGAUGAGAGGACCCAUGUUUGGAAGAAUAUCCAUAAAUACUCAUGAGACUAGUCAAGGAACCUAGUUUGGAAACUGCUACAAUUAACAUGGGGUAUGUGGAUUUCAGCAGGCCAUGUAAAACAAUGUCUUCAUGAUAACCAUGUGCAAAAUAAGAGGAAAUAUAGCCUAGACAAUAACAAUAGAAUCAGAAGGAUUUGUGGCCAAAGAAACAAUCAGUUAAUAACUUCCCUCAGCAUAAGGAAGGUGUGCCCAGAACUACCUUUAGUCAUUUAAUCAACAAACUGAAUAAAGGUCUGGAAGCCAUUUCUUUCAAAUCUGCAGAUAAGACAAAGCUAAGAUGAGUGAUGAACAUGUUUCACGAGACAGUCAACAAGACUUUGACAAGCUGCCAUGAUGGACUAAAACUAACAAGACUCUCUUACCAGAGGUUUCUCCUUGAACCGAGGUUUCUCAUGGGUGAGUGCCAGAAGGAAGAAGGCAAGAAUUGCAAAUGAGCUGGAGAAUGUGUUUAAUGUCAAACCCAGCCCAUGGUAACUGUGUGUGACAGGUCCCCCAAAAGUUAUGCAACUUGCGACCGCAUUCCCUGAAUCCCAGUGCACAGGCCACACAGACGAUCUGCUGAACCCUCACAGCCUUGUCACGGGCCCGUCCUGUUUUCUAAAAACACCAAGUACCAAUCAGUGCACCUGGGUUAAGAGCACAGAGGAGUUCUUUGUAUGGUUUCUACAACUUCCCUAUCAGUUUCACGUUAUUUCAAAAUAAAAAGUUUGAAACAAAAAGGAAGAGAAAUACUAAGUGUCCAGGGCCUGUGUCAGACCAUAUAUGGAAAAUUAUAUAUAAGUCUUGGUACCACCCUGAAAACCUGUGCACAUUGUGAGCAGGGUGACAGGAUAGGGAGUUUUGUUUUUUUUUUUUUUAAAGGAACUGGGAAUACAAUCGGGGGUCGGGGGCUGAAGAUUUCCCGGGCUGUCUUGUGGAAGACUGAUGAGAAGGCAGACCAGCGGAGGUGGGCGCACCGAGGGAGACUUCGGCACCGUGGACAGAGACGUGUCCAUCAAUCCCUUGGGUCUACAAGCGGACGAGCUGGCUCAGAAGGUGGUGGUCUCCUUCCCAGCAUGAAGCCGAUCAGCCAGGGGUGAACCGGGUUGGAGUUUGAGCUGGACGCAAUGAUGUCUAAGGAGGCUUCCAACUCAAACACCCAUUGGGAGUCUACACAGCUGUUUAAAAAGCCUAAAGGAAGCAGUGACAGGUGGUGCAUCUCAGGACUCAUCACCAUCGGUUGUUUGCUCAUAGACAGGCUCACUCCAUUCCAUGACUUUGUCCUAAUCAAGAAUAAAUCCUAGGACUGGAACACAAUAAGUUGUCCGUGGCUCCAGAUUUCUGAGGACUUCAGUGCUAUAAUGAGAGGUAAUUUGAAACUAGUGAAGAUAAAUACAUGAAAAUGUUUAGUAGCUGUACAGGGAUGAAUAGUGUCACCCCAAAAUCCACAUCUACCCCAAACCUCAGAAUGUGGUCUUAUUUGAAAAUAGCAUGUUGGCAAAUGUAAUUAGUUAACUCAAGAUAAGGUCAAACUACAGUAAGGUGGACCCUAAUACAUUGACCGGUGUCCUGAUAAGAAGAGACACAGGGACACACACAGGGAGCAGGCCAUGUGAAGAUGGAGGCAGAGAUUGGGGUGAUGUGUCUACAAGCCAAGAAAUGCCAAGGAUGGUGGGCCACCAUCAGAAACUAGGGAGAGGCAAGGAAGAAUCCUUCCCAGAACCUUUGGAAGGAGCGUGGCCCUGCCACACCUUGAUUUCAGACUUCUAGUCUCCAGAUGUGUCAGAGGAUGCAUUUCUGUUUCAAACCACUCUGCUUGCGGUAAUGUGUUCAGGCAGCCAGGAAACUCACACAGCAGUGAAAGGCUGUCUCGCUUCCCGCUGACCAGUUAUAACCUCUUCUUAGUGCUUAAAAUGGGAAGAAGGGAGAGCAGGGGGUCGGCCCACUUCUUUUAUGGGAACCUGAUACCUCACUUUCCUCAGCAAGGGACUUACCUUAAGGACAGACAGCUUGCGGUCUGUAUCUUGAGCUCCCGAGUUCAGACCAUGCUCCAGCCAGUUCACUUCCUUGAAAAACAAAAGAAGAAGUCUGUCUCAUGCAGCAGAAACUCAAUGUAAUUUUCUUCCUGAGUCAAGUUCACGUUCCGUCUCCUGGUUACCUCAACGAUCAGAUCUGGGCCAUCAGACACCACACCACGCCUCUGUUUCCACGCCCAUCAGAACUCUUCGUUAAGCAGCCACUAACCCACGAGCUGGCAUUUGAUGAUCCCAGAUUUAUUGCCCUUGGUUUAUGACUCAAAAAUUCUCAGAAAGUUCAACCUAUGGGGGUAAAGUCUCUAAGCAGGAGAAAUUGUGGCAUGAACAGGGUCUAGAUUGGACUGAACAAUCCCACAGAAGGAGGAAACACGGGGCAGCUUUCACUGCACUUCCUUUAAGGGUUACGCUGCACGCCUGCCCAAAGGAGCAGGAGUAACAGCCAAUUGUUACUUAGCUCUUCCGUGUGCAGGCCCUGUUCUAAGCACUUCUGUAUCCUUAUUUAAUUCCCACAACAACCUUAUGAAGCAGAUACUAUUAUUUGCCUAAUUUUUCAAAGGUUGAAGCUAAAGUACAGAGAGGUUAAGUAACUUACCUAAGAUCACACAGGAAAGAAGUGACAGAGCAGGGAUUUGAACCCUGGCUCCAGAGUCUGUGCGCCUACCCACCUGUGACAGGCAGACUCAAAGAUGAGAUGGCCACCUGCUCCCCAUCUCUUAGUCUUCAUAGCUUUGAGUAAUCCCCUCCUUCUGAGUGUGGACAGUACCUAUGACUCAAUUGAAUGUGACGAAGGUGAUGGAUGCUGCUUCCGUAUUUCGGUUACGGAUGAUUAUGAUUCCAUCUUGCUAGCAGGCUCUCUCCGCUGCCUUCUCAGCUGGCACCCUUGGAGGAAGCAACCUCCCACAGCGGAAAGGCUCACGUGGCAAGGACCUGAGGCCGCCUCCAGCCAACAGGCAGCACAGAAUUGAGGUCCUCAAUCUAACAACCCUAAAGGAACAGAAUUCGGCCAACAACCACGUGAACUUAAAAGUGGAUUUGCCCCCAGUGGACUGCAGCCCUGGCCGACACCGCGAGAGACCUUGAACAGAGAGGCCAGGGCCAGCUAAGCUGCGCCUGAUUCCUGACCUGCAGAAACUAUGACAUAAUAAACGUCAUUUGAAGCUAUUAAGUUUGAUGCAGCAAUAGAUAACAGCGCCCUGGGUUGAGUCCCAGCUUAGGCACAAACCCACUGAACAUGCACCAUCCCGGGCCUCCAGACCCUCAAUCCAGGGAGAGAUGGGUUAGUUUCAUCCAUUCGCUCAAGAACCAGUUACUAAGCAGCCACUUGGAGCCAGGUGGAAUUCUAGGUGCUGGGGACACCACAGAGAAGGAAACGGAUAGAGUCCCUGCCUUCAUAGGGCUUCUGUUUUAGUGAAGGGAGACGAAUGUGAUGGUGACUUUUAUGUGUCAACUGGACUGGGACAGGAGGUGCCCAGAUAUUUGGCUCAACGCUAUUCUGGGCGUGUCUGUGAGGAUGUUUCCGGAUGAGAUGAACAUUCGAUUCCGAAGACGGAGUAAAGCAAGUCGCCCUCCACAAUGUGGGGGGGCCUCGUCUAAUCCAUCGGAGGCUUGAAUAGAACAAAGAGAGAAUUCACUAAAAGAGAAUUCAUUCCCUCUGCCUUUUUUCAAGCUAGGACAUUGGUUUUCCUCCUGCGCGUGGAGUGGAACUUACACCAUCAGCUCUCCUGGUCCUCAGGCCUUCAGACUCGACUUGGAACUACACCACAGGUUCCCCAGAGCAAUUGGAGACUAAGAACGAGCUCUUAAAGUGAAAAAGAUUUCAGAUGCAAUCAAAUCAAGCAUAUUAACGUUUCUGAGAUAGAAGUUUUGAAUAGUCACACUAAAAGGAAAAAUUCAAACUAUAAGCGGAUUUACAUCAGUUUGGGUCACAUUUGCCACAAAUACCUUCGGGCCAGGUAAGGGCUUGCCAUCAAAUGAGUUCAGUUCUAGCUUUGCCACCAAAGGAAGGAGGGAAAAACUACACUUGGUUUUCAGAGCUUUUUAGAUAUGGAGCAUUGCAGGUAAGUGUCUGUGGACAGUGACUCCUUGAGUAGACCUCGGUUUUCCUGGAAAAUUUCGAAAGAUGAACCUCUCACCUCUAACCAUGUUACUCCUAUAACUGGCAAUGAUCUCAGGGAUAUUUCUCUCUAAAAAAGGUAAAUUGAGGCAAAUGAGCAAUGUUCUCCAUAGUAUUAAACUCACUGACUGUGUCUACAUGUACAGGAUAAAAUGUUUAUGUCCACUUGCAGCUCUGUGAUAAAUUGUCUAACUAGGAGCCACAGCAAGAAAAAGGAAAAAGGAAAAGCUGACUAUAAGAAUUUCCUGGGCAGAAAGAAAAAGGCCAGGAGGGAGGCUCAUGUGGGCUGUCACGGGCCUGUGGGUGACAGCAGUCAGACUCUCUCUUAAAUGGUACAGCCCAUUGACCAGCCCAGGGCCACCAUCCUCUGACACCUUCCUGCCAAGAUCCCCCUACCCCUGCCUACGAUUACUGAGCCAUGAAAGUCAAACUCCCUUUGGCAAAAGCAGGUGACUCCCACUGUAGAAUGUUCCUGAGAUUAACUGAAUUCAUUCUGACGUCAGGAAGAGGUGACACCACACUCAGGUCCCUUCCAUGACUCUGCAGCCUUAAAUACAGCGAGGAUGCUGCAGACAGCAGCAGAAGCUGAGGUUGGAGAGGUAGGCAGGAUGGGGAUGGCACCCAGAGAAGACACCUGUGCCUGGCGUGGAGGAGCUUGGAUUCUCUCUGAGUCAUGGCAGGUCCACAUCUGGCUGCCGUGUGGAGGAGGGUGUGGGAAGGGUCAGGUGUGGAAUGGGAAGGGAGUGGGAGGCUCUCCUUGGUGGGGUGUGCUGGAGGUGGGGGCAGGAGAGCAGUGGAGGCAUUCGAGAAGGCAGAAGCAACUGAGUAAAAGAGAGAAAUCUAGGAUACAGCCCUGGGUUCCAGCUUUGAGAAGCUGGAUUGGAAGUGGUGCCAUUUUCUGAAAUGGAAAAGAGCAGGCAGGGAAGGAACAGUUACAGUGGAGCAGGGAAGCCAAGACAUCUGCUGUGGCUGUGACGAGUAGAUGCCUGUGAGGUACCCACAGGCUGGUAGCUGCAUGUAUUAGCUAGAAGCUCAGAAAAAGUUCUGGGCUAGAGACAUAAACAUUGGCAUCCAAGAGCAUUGUUUUUUUUUAACUGGUGAGACGGUGUGAGAUCACUGGGAGAGAAGAACCAGAAGAAUGGAGUGCCCAGGAGGAGGAAGGGGAGACUCUGAAAGGGAAUAAGGAGAAACGGCCAGAGAGAUAGAAGAAAAAAACAAAGGUGUGGUCUCCUGGGAACCAAGGAAGGGCUCUUUUCUAGGAGGGAGUGGUCAACCGUGCUGAAGCUUCUGCGAAGUUAGGUAAGAAGAGGACAGGAAAUGCUGCAAUAGACAUGAGGGCACCGAGGCCGUGGGUGUGCCGUCCAGGUCCCCCUUCAGGACAGAGAUUCCACAGCAGUCCAGAGAGAAGAGGACCCAGCCAACGUUUGAAGGUGCACCAAAAAUGGACUUACAUGCCCCGCCUGAGUACCUAUUAAGCGGUAGGCACUGUUCUAAGGGUGGUCAAGCUCUAUUUGCUGAAUGAAUGUUCGGAUGAAUGCCCAGAGUCAUCCGGAGUAGGAAAGGACCCUAUUGCGGGGGAGAUAAACGGAUAUGAAACCCCAACAUCAGCACAAGAGAUUCUUUAUGACAGCUGGAGCCUACAUCCCAACUGGUCUUGCAGGAUGUCUCUCCACAGACUAGUUGCAAGGGGAAAAACAGUAACUAUACGGUGGAGAAAUCGGAUACCACUUCGACCAUGCGAUCAAAAUUAGCAUCACCACUGAGGCGCUCUCGAACACAGCGUGCCUGCAGAUGAGCUACCUGGGGACACCCUGCAAUUUAUGCAGCAUUCCAGCCAGGAAUACAUAAUCUGAACCUAAUCAUGAGGAAAUAUUAGAUAAGCCCAAACCGAGAAGCAUUCCAUAAACUAAUUGGCUUAUAUGAAAAAAAAAAACAGCCAGUGUCAUGAAAAACCAAGGCCAGGUAAUUGUUCCAGAUUAAAGAAAGCUAAACAAGUUCAGGG